AUAUAUAUAUAUACAUAUAUAUAAUUAUCACUUCAUCGUUUCAGUAUAUUAUUUUUCGAAAAUACAAUCAAACGUAUUUGUGAGAGGUUAUCGAGUAAUACCAUUUGGGUUAUCAAAGUUCAUUCUAGAUCUUAUCAUUGGUUUAAGAUAGCAAAAAAAUAAUCUGGCCCAUGAGGGGAUCGAACCCGCGACCUUCGCGUUAUUAGCACGACGCUCUAACCAACUGAGCUAAUGGGCCGACUAGAGAGCUUUUCGCAGCGGUAAAAGUCUGUCUUCGCUGUAUACUGUUUUGUAAAAUAGUGGCAAAUUAAAUAUAAACACAAAUUCGUCGCUCAAUGAAUUAUUUAAUUCUAAGGGUAUACUAUUAUCGAUUACAUCGAUACCGUCAUCGACUGUAAUUUUUGGUUCUAAUAACCUAUAAUUAUUCGGAAUUUUAUUAACAAUAACAUCAGUAAUUUUAUCCAUAAUUAAACUGUUUUUUUGAUGCUCCAAACAUUGUAACGAUUCUAAAUUAGAUAUAGAUUUGGAUAUAUUCUCAGAAUUAUUAUAGUUGGUUCGUUUUUCAAACGUAUCCAAGAGUUGCAUUCGAAAGACCGUGAAGGAUUCUAUCUUUUGACAACAAGAUGCGCAUAAAACAGCAGAAUUUAGAUCCUUGGGAACCUUGAAAUAAAUACGUUUCGAUGAUAUCCGA